GAUGAACGCUGGCGGCGUGCCUAACACAUGCAAGUCGAACGAAGCACUUUAUUUGAUUUCCUUCGGGACUGAUUAUUUUGUGACUGGGUGGCGGACGGGUGAGUAACGCGUGGGUAACCUGCCUUGUACAGGGGGAUAACAGUUGGAAACGGCUGCUAAUACCGCAUAAGCGCACAGCAUCGCAUGAUGCAGUGUGAAAAACUCCGGUGGUAUAAGAUGGACCCGCGUUGGAUUAGCUAGUUGGUGAGGUAACGGCCCACCAAGGCGACGAUCCAUAGCCGACCUGAGAGGGUGACCGGCCACAUUGGGACUGAGACACGGCCCAAACUCCUACGGGAGGCAGCAGUGGGGAAUAUUGCACAAUGGGCGAAAGCCUGAUGCAGCGACGCCGCGUGAGCGAAGAAGUAUUUCGGUAUGUAAAGCUCUAUCAGCAGGGAAGAUAAUGACGGUACCUGACUAAGAAGCACCGGCUAAAUACGUG
rnacentral:rRNA from 1 species